rnacentral:lncRNA from 1 species
CCUGCCUCUAGGCUUGCGGAACCAACUGCUGGGAGGCAGCUGGGUUUGCAGAGAGGCCGGUGGUCAGCAGCACCUGUGAGCAAAAGAGAAAGAAAUCAGAUGGAAACGAAUCCAUCCAAGUGGAUUAGGUAGAGCAAGUCAGCUUUCUUUAACCCUGAGCUCAAAUUCCAGCCUCUCCUUGAAAUACAGAUGUCCUUGACUUUUGCGUAUGUCCUCUUUGCGUUUUGGAAUCCCAUUCUGGAUACCGCAUCACAUUUAGUCAUCGCAUCUCAUCUCGGCUGUGGCAGUUAGUUACUGUAACCCUAGAUGAAUACUAUUUAUUGCUUGAGUGGCAUAUGGAGGGUUCAGCAUCAAUUCACAUAGGCAUCCCCCAGAGGAAGAAAAUAGAUUCCAGACCUGCUGCUAAUCCUCUCCUUCCCAACUUCCUAAGCCAUUCUUCUCAGUGACAAUUCGAGUGCUACUGCUUGGUGUCACAUCAUUAUAAUCAUGUGAACAAGACCUCAUGAUGCUAUAGUUGCUGCUGGCAGCCAUCUUGUGACCAAAACAAGAAGGGCUUUUAGGAUAAAGGAAACACUCUAGACAGCAGAGGAGAAAGACAAAAACAUCUGUAUCCCUGAUGUCAUAGCUUGAGCCAUGGAAUCAAAUCACCCUGCAGUUGGCUGUUGUACUUCUUGCUAUGUGAAAUAAUACAGUUCCUUAUUGUUUAA